UGUCCGCGCGCACGGACGCGUGGGCGCUGCCACGCGACCUCCCGUUGGCGGCGGUCUCCCCUCGGCCGGCUGUCGCCUCCUCGCCAGACCGGGAAAGGCGCCGCUGCCUCACGAGAACUGGCCCCCGUGACCGACCCCGUCUCAGUUCGUAAGGGAGGACACACAGCACCCCACCUCUGCGCCGGCCUCGGACCCCCGCGAGCCCUCAGAGCUCCCCCGGGACCCCCUACCCGGCAUCCCACCCACCCAAGCGCGCAGCUCCUCACCUGAGGGUCCGGGUCGCGCCGGGCCUCCAGAGGGGGCUGCGGCGUCACCGCGACCUCCGCACGUGUCCGCGGCCCCGCGGAGCAGAAAAAAGCAUCAUCUCAAAAAAGUUCCGAGUAUCUAAUGGAGAGUGAUGACAUUUCAAAAAGUAUACAAAAAAGAACACAGAAUCCAUGUUGGGAUAUCUAAACUCUCCAAAAUGAAAGCUCCUCAGGAAGCCAUUUCUAAAGAAUUGGAGGAAUAUAAGCAACUCCUUCUAGAGGGAUUUGAAGAUUUGAGAAGAAAACAAGAUGAGAUCAUUCAGGUUGCAAAAGCUUUUUCAAAGCAAGUGAAUGAAGCUAAUGAAGUGUUAGCAGAGUUCAGAACUAAAAAUUUUCUCCUGGAGAAACAACAGACUGGAACAUUAACCAAGUCUGUUUCUACGCAAACUGUUUCUACGCAAACUUCGGUAGUGUCACAUAGCGUUGGAAAUCGUGCUAAUAGUUUCUGGCUCAGCAGAGAUCUUACUCCACAACAAAACUUGGAGACUCCUACUUCAGCAACUCAGGCUUCACAUCACAACACUGCAGAGUCUUUGGACACGUUUGCCCUUCAGGAUCUUGACACCUCAACUUUAUGGGAAAGAUGUUUUCAGAUCAUUGAAAAAUGUAGGAGUCAACAAUAUUUGCCUUCAUGCCAGAAUAAAGCUUUUUUCAGAAACAGGCUUCUUGGGGCCAUGACAUAACAGGGGCAAAUCAGAGAACAAUUGUGGAGAAAUACUCCUGAAGCACCAUAGAGCCAUGAAACAAAGGAAUAAUAGCAAUAGUAACAAUUCCAAAAUAAACUUAAGCUUGAAAUUUAUAUCACACAUCCAAGUAAAAGUAUUAUUCCAAAUUACAGUAGCUAUACAUGACUGUGCUUCUCCAACUUUAAUGUGUCUGGACCUUCAGCCCAGAGUCAGGAGUCUCCACUCGGCUGAUUGCCAGGAGCAGACACUAGCUGGCGCAGCUGGUGUGGUUUCUGUCUCCUGCUUAGACCUUGGACUCACAGUCAAAGCAGAAGAGCACUGAGAUGCUGAGUGUCACAGGAAGGAAAGAGAACAUCAGGAGGAGAAGUUUGGUGUCUUCUGCUUUUGAAAUGCUUUGGCUCAGCUUCCACAACAGACCUGAGUAUGAAGGACCGAAUUGCAGCCAAGCCAGGUACAUUGAUACAACAUGGCUGCCCUGGACAUGACCUAUUGCAUUCAAGUUGCUUGAACACAUCAGAAGUCCCAUUGUUAAGGUUGACUGAUUGAAAUUUAUAUGUUACCAUGAAUAAAAAUUGUUUUCAUGUUGAACAUCAUGGGCCUGACUUGGUAAAUUCCUCAGUUUUGUAGCUGUACAGGGCAGCAUGUGAGCAGGAGUCAUUCAUCAUCAUACACAAACACACUUUGUUAUAUUUGGGCAUAACCACAGGCUUUCCUCUUUUAAGAAAAUUCCAGAGCUGGAGCAAGCCACAAUCAGGCACUCAGAACUCAUUCCAGGUCUCCCGUCUGGGUGUCAGGGCCCCAGGCAGUUGAGCUAUAUUCCACUGCUUUCCCAGGCACGUUAAGAGGGAGCUGGAUCAGAAGUGGAGCAGCCAGGACUUGAACCAGCACCCAUAUGAGAAGCUGGCAUCCUGGAGGGCAACUUAACAUGCUGUGCCCCAGUAAAGCAGAAUUUAUCUGAAAUGUCGGCAGACACAUAUUAAAAGAAAGAACUGUCAGCUGAUGCCACUUUGUGUGCCACUUUAUUGAAAAAAAUUGUCACAAAGUUUUCAUUGAGCACCAACCAUAGCUUACACUGCUCAGUUCACACAGAAAUGCAAAGUUGCGAGAUUGGUGAAGAAUAUAACUUCCUGAUGCCUUUUAUUCUUAAUGUACUCAGGACACAACAUUUUAAAAAUAAUUUCACCAUCACAUGAUGAAACAAUAGGUUUAUAUGAAAUACGUUCUCUGGUCAUUCAUGUCCCUGAAACAGUUCAAGUUCACCCAACAUUUCUCAGUUUAAUUAGAUAGGCGAUUCCAGUUCAACGGUCCUGGAGCAGUAAUAAAGCUGGCCAUAGAUAAUGUGCACUUUAUAAAAGGCCGGGUGUCUGUUGGAAAGCUGAUCAUCAUAAUGUCACUUGUAAAAUUCCACGACUGCAUUUGGAAGUGAUCAUCUGUAUCUAAUUUUUUAAGGAAACUUUCACUGUUCCGCAGCCAAUUUCCUUUCAGGUCCUGAAUACAGAUCAUUGGUGAAACAGUACCAGAUAACCUUGGUGCACAGAAUAGAAUAAAAGUACACAAUAUUCACAGAUGCACUUCUUCUUGUGCCUUUGCUGAAAAAAAACAA